AACGAACGCUGGCGGCAUGCCUAACACAUGCAAGUCGAACGAGACCUCCGGGUCUAGUGGCGCUCGGGUUCGUAACGCGUGGGAACCUGCGCUUAGGUUCGGAAUAACUCCUCGCCAGGUGUGCUAAUACCGGAUAAUGCCCUCGGACCAAAGAUUUAUCGCCUUUGGUUGGGCCCGCGUUGGAUUAGCUUGUUGGAAGGGUAAAAGCCUACCAAGGCGACGCUCCAUAGCUGGUCUGAGAGGAUGAGCAGCCACACUGGGACUGAGACACGGCCCAGACUCCUACGGGAGGCAGCAGUGGGGAAUAUUGCACAAUGGGGGAAAGCCUGAUGCAGCAAGGCCGCGUGAGUGAUGAAGGCCUUAGGGAUGUAAAGCUCUUUUACCCGGGAUGAUAAUGACGGUACCGGAAGAAUAAGCUCCGGCUAACUCCGUG
rnacentral:rRNA from 1 species